GGGCCCGCACAAGCGGUGGAGUAUGUGGUUUAAUUCGAUGCAACGCGAAGAACCUUACCAGGGUUUGACAUCCUGCGAAUCUCUUGGAAACUUGAGAGUGCCUUCGGGAGCGCAGUGACAGGUGGUGCAUGGCUGUCGUCAGCUCGUGUCGUGAGAUGUUGGGUUAAGUCCCGCAACGAGCGCAACCCACGUCUUUAGUUGCCAGCAUUUAGUUGGGCACUCUAGAGAGACCGCCGGUGAUAAACCGGAGGAAGGUGUGGAUGACGUCAAGUCAUCAUGCCCCUUACAUCCUGGGCUACACGCAUGCUACAAUGGCCGGUACAGAGGGCUGCAAUACCGCAAGGUGGAGCGAA
rnacentral:rRNA from 1 species